CGGAGGCAGCAGUGGGGAAUGUUGCGCAAUGGGCGAAAGCCCGACGCAGUGACGCCGCGUGUGGGAUGACGGCCUUCGGGUUGUAAACCACUGUCGGGAGGGACGAAGAUCUGACGGUACCUCCAAAGGAAGCACCGGCUAACUCUGUGCCAGCAGCCGCGGUAAUACAGAGGGUGCGAGCGUUGUCCGGAAUCACUGGGCGUAAAGGGCGCGUAGGCGGCCCGAUAAGUAGGGGGUGAAAUCUUGCGGCUCAACCGCAAGGCUGCCUUCUAAACUGUCGGGCUGGAGCACGGUAGAGGCAGAUGGAAUUCCCGGUGUAGCGGUGGAAUGCGUAGAGAUCGGGAAGAACACCAGUGGCGAAGGCGGUCUGCUGGGCCGUUGCUGACGCUGAGGCGCGACAGCGUGGGGAGCAAACAGGAUUAGAUACCCUGGUAGU
rnacentral:rRNA from 1 species